UGCAGAAUCCCGUGAAUCAUCGAGUCUUUGAACGCAAGUUGCGCCCGAAGCCUUCGGGCCAAGGGCACGUCUGCCUGGGCGUCAUAA
rnacentral:rRNA from 1 species